AGAGACCCAGCUGCUGUUGGGAGAAGCUCACUGAUUGACUCUUAGAAAUGGACGCAUGUCUACAAGUCCAACAGCCUUACCAUGGAACCCCAGAGUCCCUGGCAGGAAAAGGUUGGGAGGGAGUUUCAGCCCUUGACAGAACGAGUUUGCCAACUUUUGACCUAGAGGAUGGAAAGUCAUCACUUCUCAGUUUGCCCUGUGGAUACGUCGGGACCUAGCUCCGCCAACCUCUCUGGAUUUACCUCCUACAACCACUGCUUCCCACUCCACACCGCUCACACAUCACACUCCGGUGAAAUCAGACUCUGCAGGCAUCUCACACAGACCCUAAUGCUAAUAGUAACUACCACUGGAUGAGCAUUUCUUCUGCCCCACACCACAGUGUCCUUCACAUGUGUUGUCUCACUUCAACCUACAGGGCAGGUGAGUCGGCCCAUUUUAUCAUACUCUCUGCCCCUGUGCCUUUUCCCACCCUCUGCUUCCCGAAGCCCCUUGCCCUGAGCUCACACUCUGCCGCAGCCUGGACCAUGUGCUCUUAUCACCUCUUCAGUUGCUUCUUCCUCUGCCCGUGGAUAGAGAGCCCCACAAAGGCAGAGGCUGGACGCUGCUCUUCUUGGCGUCUUUCUUUAGUCCCCAGUGUGUAACCUGGCACGUGACAUGUGCUCACAGCCAGGUUUGUUGAGUCAGUGAACAACAGCACUGAGUAAACGAACAACAGUGAAGACCCCUGCCCGGUCAUUCAUUUAUUUUCUGGCUCUACUGCAGCAAGGGGCAAUGCUGCACAAAUAUCACACACAGACCAAUGUUCAGAGUCAGGAGGGGGAUUUGAGCUCCGAGAGAAGAGCUCUGGGGAAUUCAAGAUUAUUCUGGCAGGGUCAGGCUUCCUGGAGGAUGUGGGUUGGACUGGGUUUGGAGGACAGGAAGAUAUGGACAUGGGAAGACUGAGGUAUGUGAGUACGUGGGAGAAGGGCCAGGUGCUGCCCGUGACCUCCAGACAGAGCCAGUGUGAGGGCCAAGCUGGAUUCCUCCCACUGUCUCUAGGCUUCAUUCUGUGACUACAUGCCUUAGAUGAGGCCUCCAGGAGGCUUAUUCUGUGCCCUGACUCCUCCCCAGGGAUGAAAGAGUCUGAGGGGAGUCCAGCAGAUUCUCAGAACUACAAAGGCUAGGCUAUUGCCUCCUUCUACAGAUGAGGAAACUAAGCUCAACAAACCAAAACCAUGUGCCCAAAGUCACAGGACCUCUCAGUGCCACCGCCUGGCCUGGAUUCAGGACACUUUCCACCACAGUGCAAUUCAUGGCCUACACAAUGCUGGAGGCUGUGUUUAUCCAAGUGGACAGCAGUAGGGGUCCUCGUUGCCAUCGUAGAUCAAUACAUCUCUUGGGGUGGGAAUAGUGAGCUUCUUAAUUCCCCAAGGGAACCGACCCAUAUUUAUUCUGAAAUCUCAGCCAAAUCCAAACCAAUCCUGGCAAUUCUCCCGGAUACCAUAACUGAGCACCAAGGCCUGGAGGUGGCUAGUCAGGCUCUAUCACUCUUGGCUGAGUGACCUUGAACAAGUGGCUUCACUCCCUUGAGCCUCAUUUUUGUCAUCUGUAAAAGGGGGUCACAAUGGAGCUAUAUGAGGGCACCAUGAGAAAAGGCUGUGAGAGUACCUUGGAAAUAGGCACUUUUCUAAGCCCUUUAUAGCCAUUAACUCUUUCCAUUUCCAAAACCAUUCCAUCAGGGAGGAACUAGUAUUGUCCCCGUGUAGUAGAUGAGGGAACUGAGGCGCAGAGAGAAUAAGCAGCUUCCCCAAGAUCACACAGCUAGUCUGUAAUCAAGAGGGCAAGCCGGGGCGGGGAGGCACUCUAGCAUGUGCCACAGUGGCCCUCCAAACCCAGUCCCAACUAGCAGAUACACUACUUCCUCCCUUUGCCUCCCUGGGAGGCAAUAUGGCUCAGGCAGCAGUGACAACAGAGGAGGAGCAGGCAGUGCCUUGCUAUGCUGUUCCAGAGGCAAAGACGCCAAUCCCAGCCUACGUAUUCCCAGAGAUGCGUUUUCUGAUGCCUCCUCUGUGACCUUCUUAGUUGGAGCCCUGACUCAGAGACACCUGUCAGCCGGCCUCCUCUGCUCUCUCUUCUGGGAUGGGGACAGCAUUAAGACAGUCACCCACAGAGCAUCUGCAGUGCUAGCCCUGCCUGCUGCCUGAGCCCGAGUGAGAGGAACGUGUGUGUGUGCCUAUGGUGGGGGCAUCCCUGCACGCCUGGGCAUGGCACGGGAGCAGGAAAACCACAGGAGCUGUCCUCGCAAAUGGGCCUCGAGGGACAGGAAAUGGAAGUAAGGCUUCUUGGACGAUCCUGGCUCAGCCCUCUGAGCUCCCCACUGGCCACCUCUCACCCUCGGCUCUGACUCACUCCCUUCUCGAAGCCUAAUCUCUUGGCCAGCCUGUCCUGCAAAAUCAAAACUGCUUGCAUUUACCAUAAGAAAUAAAAACAGCACCUUACAAAGCACUCUGUCUUUCUGGUGCCCAUUAGCCCUCCUUCUAGAAUAAACUUGUCCUUUUCUUCUGUCAUUUUUCCUCUCUAAUUCUCAUUAUCAUCAAUUUACUUCUUGGCACAAUCAUUCCAGGCUCCUGCUCACUCUCUCAUCCCCUUAGAGUGGCCACAGGCACACCCCAUUCUAAUCCUAAUUGACCACCGCUUUCUUCCCCACGGCCUGCCUCUGUGCCUUCCCAGCCUGAUCACCGUGCCCUGGCUGGGCCUUGUGUGGACGACCUAUAGGCAGUUCCUGCAGAGGAGGCUCAGUGGGGAAGGAAGUUCACCUGAGCAGUCAGUGUGAAGCUUCAUUAGGCAGUACUGUCCCUCCACUUUGGUGGUGUUUCUGUGAAGGGGGCUUCAACCAGGCUGGCCAAGGUUGGACAGUGUGGGCAAGGGUGUGAGUGCGCGUGCGUGUGCGUGUGCGUGUGCGUGUGCGUGUGUGUGUGUGUGUGUGUAGGGUCUCACCUGUUUCCACAGCUCCCAUGGAUCUAGCAGGAGCACCAUGGAACCGCGGAACAAGUUUCCACACCCCUGGUGCCCUCCCCAGAAAGAGUCUAGCUCCCUGGCACAGUGGGAUUCUUUCAGCUUAAAGCCCUGAAGAUGCUCUGGGUAAAGGGAAAUCUGGGAGAUGUGAGUGGGCCUGGAGCUUAUUUGCAAGACUGUGGUAGAGGGAACCUGGCAUCUCACCCAUCUUCAGGAAAGUGGGAUCCCUGCUCAUUCAGGGCUGUGGGCCUCAAGAGAGCAUCAUAUCAGCUCCUUGCUUGCAUGAAGCUGCCACUGGCAAUCACCCUCACUUUACACCUGAGGCAGCUGAGGCCCAGACUGGUUGAUGACCUGACCGUGAUUCCCCAGGUCAUAGAGCUGGAUGGUGCAGAGGCCACCUCUCACGUCUGUAACUGUCCAACAUUGUUUAAGCUUUUCCUGUAUCUGUAGGGUCUCCUGUGGUAUAAGGCCCGCCUCUUUGAGCUAGAAGUCAGAACUCAUUCUCCCAGCUUCGUGUGCUGCUAGGGCACAGGUAUAUCACCUAGGCGUUGCCAUUUAGACUCCCUUGCAAAUGGUUUUGACUGGAAAGGGAGCAGCCCGAGGAGGCGAGUGGGCUGAGGGACUCGAUCUGCUCGGAUCGCCCAGCAGCCUGGCUAGUGCAGCAGCAUAGAGCACAGGGCCAACUGGCAGCACCAGGAGGCUAGAGCGGCCCUGGGAGUGUGGCUGCGUGUUGUUCCUGGCUGUGUGUCCGGACCCGUGUCUCUUUGGUCCUCCUGGAGAUUCUGGAAGCUCACGAUAUCCCUCAACAAAUUGGUUUUCUGCUUAAACUAGCCAGAGUGGAUUCUGUUGUUUGCAACUGAAAUUCUGACAGGUGAAUACAAUAACAUGGCUUUCAAAAAUUGACCAGAGCUAUUCUCAUCACAUACGUAGUCUGUAUUUAGGACCCGCAAAGCUUCCUAUGGAGGGAUGAGGCUGAAGUACCGUUGGGACGUAACUGGUCAGGGGAUGAGAGCGCCACAUCACACACCGGUUACGAAAAUUGGCUCUGGGCUCCGCGUAACCUGAGUCUGAGACCUCAUUCUGCAACCUGCAUGCUGUGACCUCAGAGCCGGUACCCGGGGAAGACCAGGCAGUGCCAGAAUCUGGAGGACAGCGGGAGAAGGGGAGCCUGCGGUCAGGGAGACCAGCCAGGUGACGGCAGCCACAGUCCAAGCAAGCGGGAACAACCACAUGGCUGCAGUAACCAUAGGUACAAAAUGAUGCUCCUUGGGGCAGAAAACGGAAGUCCCCAGUUCUGGCUCAUCCUUAGGACCCUCAGCUACCCUCCGGCUAGCUGGCCACAGACACAGAUCACACAAUAAGCACCUGCUCAGAUGGUAGCUACCCUUGCAGUGAGCACAGCUAUCGUGUAUAAACAUGUUGAAUCACUACGUUGUGCACCUGAAACAAAUGUAACGUUGUGUGUCAGCUACACUCAAACACAAAAAUGAAUUGAAAAAAAUAAUAAAAACCUUCUCUUAUGACUGCACAGCACAAAGGA